CGGGUGACGAGCGGCGGACGGGUGAGUAAUGUCUGGGAACUGCCUGAUGGAGGGGGAUAACUACUGGAAACGGUAGCUAAUACCGCAUAACGUCGCAAGACCAAAGUGGGGGACCUUCGGGCCUCAUGCCAUCAGAUGUGCCCAGAUGGGAUUAGCUAGUAGGUGGGGUAACGGCUCACCUAGGCGACGAUCCCUAGCUGGUCUGAGAGGAUGACCAGCCACACUGGAACUGAGACACGGUCCAGACUCCUACGGGAGGCAGCAGUG
rnacentral:rRNA from 1 species